rnacentral:rRNA from 1 species
AUUGUACGCUGGCGGCAUGCCUUACACAUGCAAGUCGAACGGCAGCACGGGUGCUUGCACCUGGUGGCGAGUGGCGAACGGGUGAGUAAUACAUCGGAACGUACCUUAUCGUGGGGGAUAACGCAGCGAAAGUUGCGCUAAUACCGCAUACGCCCUGAGGGGGAAAGCGGGGGACCGUAAGGCCUCGCGCGAUUAGAGCGGCCGAUGUCUGAUUAGCUUGUUGGUAAGGUAAAAGCUCACCAAGGCGAUGAUCAGUAGCUGGUCUGAGAGGACGAUCAGCCACACUGGGACUGAGACACGGCCCAGACUCCUACGGGAGGCAGCAGUGGGGAAUUUUGGACAAUGGGGGCAACCCUGAUCCAGCGAUGCCGCGUGAGUGAAGGAGGCCUUCGGGUUGUAAAGCUCUUUUGUCAGGGAAGAAACAGCAGCUCUAACACAGUCUGCGAAUGACGGUACCUGAAGAAUAAGCACCGGCUAACUACGUGCCAGCCGCCGCUGUAA